rnacentral:tRNA from 1 species
GGGGGUGUACUGGUUUCGUGUUAGAUCUUAUCCCAUAUAAACAUCUAAUAACAGUGGGUUCGACUCCCACCACCUCCACAA